GACGAACGCCGGCGGCGUGCCUAAUACAUGCAAGUCGAGCGGACUUAAAAAGCUUGCUUUUUAAGUUAGCGGCGGACGGGUGAGUAACACGUGGGCAACCUGCCUGUAAGACUGGGAUAACUUCGGGAAACCGGAGCUAAUACCGGAUAAUCCUUUCCUACUCAUGUAGGAAAGCUGAAAGACGGUUUACGCUGUCACUUACAGAUGGGCCCGCGGCGCAUUAGCUAGUUGGUGAGGUAACGGCUCACCAAGGCGACGAUGCGUAGCCGACCUGAGAGGGUGAGCGGCCACACAGGGACUGAGACACGGCCCAGACUCCUACGGGAGGCAGCAGUAGGGAAUCUUCCGCAAUGGACGAAAGUCUGACGGAGCAACGCCGCGUGAGUGAUGAAGGUUUUCGGAUCGUAAAACUCUGUUGUUAGGGAAGAACAAGUACGAGAGUAACUGCUCGUACCUUGACGGUACCUAACCAGAAAGCCACGGCUAACUACGUGCCAGCAGCCGCAGUAA
rnacentral:rRNA from 1 species